rnacentral:piRNA from 1 species
UCGCUCACGCUGGGAGCUGUAGACCGGAGC